GCCAAUCCUCCUCUUUUUGCUGAGGAAGACUGGCCCUGAGCUAACAUCCCUGCCCUUCUUCCUCCACUUUAUAUGUGGGACGCCUACCACAGCAUGGCUUGCCAAGCAGUGCCAUGUCCGCACCCGGGAUCCGAACCGGCGAACCCCGGGCCGCCAAAGCGGAACAUGCGCACUUAACCGCUGAGCCACCGGCCGGCCCCUUGAACCAAAAGCAAGAUUCAAAGCUUUCUGAAGCAAUUCUUUGACAACUAGAAUCCUUUCAUUCAGGAGGCAUCUCCCUGGAGACUGAGUAGAUGGUAGGAGUCCCCUGGGGUGCUGUCAGCUCCACUCGCUGAACCUCUGGAGAAAGGCCAAAAUACUAGAUGGAUCCCUGUGGAAUGACAGUUGUCAUUGCAGGCAGGAAUUGUAAAUCACUCGUGGAGAUUCUCUCAGCACAUCUGGAAUCACACGACAGCUGUCUGAACUGCUCAUGGAUAAUGCUAAUCCAGAACCACAGGUGCUGCAAUGGAGGGCGUCAUGGGUGUGCCUUUGAGACCAACUAUCUGGUUAUUCGUCCUUCUCUCCUUGGUAGCCAGUUCUCUGCACACAGCUGCAUCACUGACGAAGGCUGGCAUGGCUCUGAUUUGCUUCAGGAUUUCUGACCUUUCUUAGGACAGCGGCCACUAGCCACAUGUGACUGCUGCGCACUUGAACUCCAGCCGGUUCCCACUGAGGGCUGCUGCAAGUGUGAAACACAC
rnacentral:lncRNA from 1 species